rnacentral:rRNA from 1 species
UAUACAUGACUCUGCGCAUAUCAAUAAGCGGAGGAAAAGAAACUAACUAGGAUUCCCUCAGUAACGGCGAGUGAAGCGGGAAGAGCUCAAAUUUGAAAUCUUAAAGGUUUCCCUUGACGAAUUGUAGUUUAAAGAAGUGUUUUCUGUUGGAGUUUCGGUAAAAGUUCUUUGGAAUAGGACAUCAUAGAGGGUGAGAAUCCCGUAUUUGACCAUUACUUUCCAACUUUGUGAUACACUUUCAAAGAGUCGGAUUGUUUGGGAAUGCAGUCCAAAAUGGGUGGUAAAUUUCAUCUAAAGCUAAAUAUUGGCGAGAGACCGAUAGCGAACAAGUACCGUGAGGGAAGAUGAAAAGAACUUUGAAAAGAGAGUUAAACAGUACGUGAAAUUGUCAAAAGGGAAGCGUUUGACACCAGUGUUGUUUAGUUGAAAAUCAAUUAAAUAUUUGCGGAUUUGUAGUAGUAUUGACCUUAUCAGCUUUCUGCCUUUUUUCUCGUAUUAUUUUAAUGCACUUUUCAGUUAACAAGUCAACAUCAAUUCCUUUUGUUGUAAAAAGGGUAAUAGGAAGGUGGCUUUCUCUUCGGCGCAAGUGUUUAUAGCCUUUGACCUCUGCAAUCGGAGAGAUUGAGGUCUGCAGCGUAGAUCCUUCGGGGUUAGAUAGCAUUUGUGCUAAGCUAUAGCCUUUAUAGACAACUUGUUGACUAUGCUCAGUCAUGUAGCUUACUCGCUUAUGCUAUUUUACCUACGCUUAGGAUGUUGAUAGUCACAGCGUGUAC